GGAGGACAGAGGUUUUCAGGGGGCUGCUACCAGUCCCACUGCUUGAUGAGCAGCCAGCCAUGGAAAGCGCCUCUCGCACAAUUUUCUCAUUCUCACUGACUCGAGAGUUUCAGAAAAACAUCUGGGCUGCAUGACAUCAACCCAUCAUUGUUAUCACGGCCAUUGUCAGGGUCACAUUGUCACCACUGCCUCCGUGAGACCUGUGGUGGGAGCUGAUAUGAUCUUUGAGUCCAUCAAGGCCAAAGUCGCCCAGACUUCCUGCUGUUGAAGAUCAGAGGACUUGGCUAUGCAAAGAGCGCUGCCUGGGUUCGAAUGCUGGCUUGUUCUACCAGCUGCCCAGGACACCUACAGCACUGCAGCAAAUCACGUGGAGGGUUCACUAUGAGCUGCACAGCAGGCUGAGAAAUAAAGUUACUCAAGAAACUGCCCUUAACAAAAUGGAGAUCUUACUAUUAAAAAGAAAAAGAUUGGGAGGAGAGCAGAAAGGAAUUAAAAACAACAAAACCCCAAAACACGGCUGUCGGGAUCUGGGAAGGCGGACAGUGUUUCUUCGAUGCCCCGCUUCCUUUGAAGUGUUUGUUGUACCGCGGAU
rnacentral:lncRNA from 1 species